CCGCGCUCAGCACGUCGGCCACGUAGGCGCGGAGGUGCCCAGCAUCGUCAUCUGUGUCUGAGGAAGAGAGUCCUCAUGCAGAGGCGCCUGAUAUUCCAGGUCUGUAUCCUUCAGCUCCUGGAAGGCCGUGAGGAUCUGGAACCAAGGAGAACAAGGUGGAAGAGGGUCUGUGAAGGCAAAGAGACACUGGGAAGACCCCGAUGACGAAACUGAGGCCAGAGAGGUUAAGUGUCUUUCCAAGGUCACACAGCUCCUCCAGCGUGUCUGCCCAUCCAGUCACCCGUCCUUACGCUUCUCCGUCCAGAGGACAGGCCUCACCAAGGCGCGCCUGUGCCAGGCCGCCUCGUGUGAACAUCAGAGACCCGGUCGGGCCGCGUCGGGGGAAGGAGGAGCGGG